rnacentral:lncRNA from 1 species
GAAAUAUUUGGGACAUCUUGAUGUUGAAAGGACAUAAACAACAUAAAAAUAAACCACACACAUCAAACAAAACAAAACAAGAACACAUAUUGUAUUUUUGACAUUAUUCUACCAUUUAUUUUUUGAGGCUUUGUUAUUUUUUUUUUAGAGCAGUUUUAGGUUUACAACAAAAUUGAAAGGAAAGUACAGAGAUUUCACGUAUACCCCUCACCCUCACACAUGCAUACCCUAGCCAUUAUCAACAUCAUUUACCGAAGUGGCACAUUUUUAACCAAAGAUAAACCUACACUGACACAUCAUCCCACGUCCAUAGUUUACCUUAAGGUUACCUCUUGGUGUUGUAUACAACAGAUAUACAACAAUAGAAUAUAUUCUACAAUAAUAGAAUAUAUUCUAUGGAUUCAGACAAGAGUAUAGUGACAUAUAUCCAUCGUAAAGAGUAUUUUCACUGCCCUAAAAAUCCUCUGUAAUCUGUCUGUUCAUCUAUCUCCCAUGAUCACCCACGACCACUGAUCUUUUUAUUGUGUCCAUAGUUUUGCCUUUCCAUGUCUAAUAGUUGGAAUCAUUUAGCCUUUGUAGAUUGGCUUCUUUCCUUAGUAAUCUACGUGUAAGUUUACUCCAUCUCUUUUUUCAUGGCUUGAUAGCUCAUUUCUCCUUACUGCAGAAUGAUAUUCCAUUGUCUGGGUGUACCAGUUUACCUAUUAUCCUUUCACAGACUGCAGGACACUUCGGUUGCUGCCAAGUUUUGGCAAUUAUGAAUAAAGCCACUAUAAAGAUCUGUGUGCAGAUUUUUGUGUGGAUAUAAUUUCUACAGCUCCUUUGGGUAAAUACGUAGGAGCAUGAUUCCUGGAUCAUAUAGUAAGAAUAUGUUUGUUUGUUGUUGUUGAGAUAUAAUUGACCUAUAACAUAUUAUAUUAAUUUCUUGUUCAACAUAAUGAUUUGAGAGAUAUAUGUAUUACAAAAUGAUCACCACAAUAAGUAUAGUUAACAUCCAUCACCACACAAUUAUAUAUUUUUUUCUUGUGAUGAGAACGUUUAAGAUCUUCUCUCUUCGCAAUUUCCAAAUAUACAAUACAAUAGAGUAAUAUUAAGUAUAGUCACCAUGCUGUACAUUACAUCCCCGGGACUUAAUUGAUUUUAUAACUGGAAGUAUAUAUUGUAUUACUGGAAGUAAGUUUUGGCCACCUUUACCUAUUUCACCCAGAAUGUGUUUGGUUUUGUAAGAAACCACUAACCUGCCUUCCAAAGUGGCUGUACCAUUUUUCAUGCUCAGCAGUAAUGAAUGAGAAGUCCUGUUGCUCCACAUCGUUGUCAGCAUUUGAUGUUGACAGUGUUCUGAAUUUUGGCCAUUCUAAUGGGUAUAUAAUGAGAUCUCAUUGUUUUAAUUUGUAUUUCCCUGAUGACAUAGGAUGUGUAUCUAAAAAAGGUGUUGCCAUACCCAAGAUCAUUCAGAUUUGCUCCCAUGUUAUCUUCUAGGAGUUUUACAGUUUUUCAUUUUACAUUUCGGUCUAUGAUCUAUUUUAAGUUAUUUUUUGUGAUGGAUGUAAAGUCUGUGUUCUAGAUUAAUCUUUUUGCAUAGGGAUGUCCAGUUGUUCUAGCACCAUUUAUUGAAAAGACUAUCUUUGUUUCUUUGAAUUUCUUUUGCUUCUUUAUCAAGGAUAAAGUAGAUUAUCAAA